rnacentral:rRNA from 1 species
AGUCCCGUAACGAGCGCAACCCUUGUCCUUAGUUGCCAGCACGUAAUGGUGGGAACUCUAAGGAGACUGCCGGUGACAAACCGGAGGAAGGUGGGGACGACGUCAAGUCAUCAUGGCCCUUACGGCCUGGGCUACACACGUGCUACAAUGGCUAGGACAGACGGCUGCAAACCAGCGAUGGGGAGCUAAUCCGACAAACCUAGUCGUAGUCCGGAUUGGAGUCUGCAACUCGACUCCAUGAAGUCGGAAUUGCUAGUAAUCGCGAAUCAGAAUGUCGCGGUGAAUACGUUCCCGGGCCUU